rnacentral:rRNA from 1 species
UACGUAGGGACCGAGCGUUGUCCGGAUUCAUUGGGCGUAAAGAGCUCGUAGGCGGCUGCUCAAGUCGAAUGUGAAAACUCGAGGCUCAACCUCGAGCCUGCAUUCGAUACUGGGCGGCUAGAGUCUGGUAGGGGGAUCUGGAAUUCCUGGUGUAGCGGUGGAAUGCGCAGAUAUCAGGAGGAACACCGGUGGCGAAGGCGGGUCUCUGGGCAGUUACUGACGCUGAGGAGCGAAAGCGUGGGGAGCGAACAGG